UACGGAGGGUGCAAGCGUUAAUCGGAAUUACUGGGCGUAAAGCGCACGCAGGUGGCUGAGUCAGUCGAUUGUGAAAGCCCUGGGCUUAACCUGGGAAUUGCAGUCGAUACUACUCAGCUAGAGUAUGGGAGAGGGCAGUGGAAUUCCCGGUGAAGCGGUGAAAUGCGUAGAUAUCGGGAGGAACAUCAGUGGCGAAGGCGGCUGCCUGGCCCAAUACUGACACUCAGGUGCGACAGCGUGGGGAGCAAACAGG
rnacentral:rRNA from 1 species